rnacentral:snRNA from 1 species
GUCCCUUCGGUGACAUCCGAUAAAAUUGGAAUGAUACAGAGAAGAUUAGCAUGACCCAUGCACAAGAAUGAUAUGCACAAAUCGAGAAAUUGUCCAAAAUUAA